AUUUUUUUGAUUAUGUAGAUUUCUUUUCCUACUGCAGUUUCAUAUGCAAAGCAUGCAUCAGCCACAUCCAUGCUAUCUCCUAAAGCAGUCAUUCUGAAACCCAAUCUGGGGACAGUGCAGACUAAAUAAAAUUUCAUUUUGAUUUGGCCUCCCGCUGCGAAUGGGACUGCUUUGUCUCAGCCGACAGAACCAGCAAGCCAGAAAGUGGUUCUACCAGGUGGAGGAGGACUUGAGUUGGCCUAUGUUCACCAUCCUAAGGUUCAGCACACUGAGGUUCUCCACUACCCAGUGGCAGCUCCUUACCUCAACAAGGGAAGUUUAUUCCCCCAGCCGUGACCCCGGCACCUCUCCACACCGUGUAUCCUGUCUGGGAAUGAAGACAUUUGGAGAAGAAGCGUUUACUGAAAGGAGAUUCCUGGGCUGGAGGAAAACCAUGAUCUACAGUUCAUGUUGACAGAUAUUGUAUUUUUGGUCCUAGAUCUGACUUUUGAAAUGACUUAUCACAAAUUCAAAUUUAGCAAUCAUGAGUGAAGUACCCACGACGUGCUAAGCAUCUACCUCUGCAGAUAGAAGAACACUUACCGUUCCUGAGCAUGGGAGGGAACUUCUGUUCCUGGGUCCUGGCCUCACCUCAUCAGGCACUGCCAAAUUUGACACCUCCUUCCUGUUCACGGCAGUCCUUUGGGAUGGGGUAUUAGAUGCCACCAAAUAGCUGCAUAACUCACCCACUUUGUCAGAGCCUGGGUCUAAGCCAGGUCUGACAGACUCCAAAGCAAGCCCUGUUUACAGCAUGACUGGGAUCCAGUGGGUAAGACCAACCUGUCAAUGCCCAAGUGCAGAUGCAAUAAUAGUGCUUCAACUGAUUGUUGCAAACUCCUCAUGAAGGAUGCCAAAUCCCAGUGCAGAUGGUAACACAGGCUACUUUUCACCUCCAACCUCUAAUAUCCUUUCUUUCUUUCUUUCCUUUUUUUUUUUUUUUUUUUUUUUUUUUGAGAUAGAGUCUCCUCUAUCACCCAGGCUGGAGUGCAACAGCGCGAUCCCAGCUCACUGCAACCUCCACCUCCUGGGUUCAAGCAAUUCUCUCGCCUCAGCCUCCCGAGUAGCUGGGAUUACAGGCACCCGCCAUCAUGUCCAGCUAAUUUUUGUAUAUUUGUAGAGACGGGGUUUCACCAUGUUGGCCAGGCUGGUCUUGAACUCCUGACCUCAGGUGAUCUGCCCGCCUCAGCCUCCCAAAGUGCUAGGAUUACAAGUGUGAGCCACCACGCCCGGCCCCAAUAUUCUUUCUUACUAGACACUGUGUAAGCUAAUUAUUCAGCAAGUAUUUUGCACUGAACUCUAAAUAGGUAAGUAUUUUGUGUCCAUUUUACAGACAAGAGAAAUAAAAUAGAUAAAGUAUUUCCCCAAAGCUAUGAUAAAUGAAUCCCAUAGCUAGAAAUGGCAGAAAACCCAUGGAAACUUCUAUGGGGAGUGGAUGUCUGCCUUACCUUGGCACAAUGCUUGGUUCUCAGAUAUCAUUUCAGUGACAUUGCCAAAUGGGAGAAACCAUGUCUGGUACAUGGGACUCAAGCUGCCUCAAAAUAUCCUGAAUGCAUUUUUUCAGGGGAGAAAAUCCAUUUGAAUAAGAAUAGCUAGUUAUAGCUUAUUAUGUGCCAGACACUAUUCAAAGUGUUUAAUGUGUAUUAACUUCUCAAAACCACUCUAUAAGUUAGGUACUAUGAUUUCCAUCUCCAUUUUACAGAUGAGGGAACUGAGCUGUCAAAACUAAGUGACUUGAUUGAGGCCAUGCAGCUGGCGAGGGGAGGACCAGGAUCUGAACCCAACUGGGUCUCCCAAGCCUGGGCCACUGAACCAUUUCACCUCUUGGAAAAACUUAAUGGUCAGAGUGGCCCACCCAGUCCAUGGACAGCAUGGAGGUAAUGAACUUUAAUCAGAAACUUAUUGUGCAUUGACUGAGCACUUAUUCUUUUAAGACAAUAUGUUUGGAUGUCUUUGGAUGUACAGAAUUCAAAUUAUUAAUAAUGUUCACAAAAGUUGCCCUGUAUUUUUAUGCUGAAAUACAACAAAAUGUCAACUCGGUUCCAGUGACCUUUAUACUGUACAUAUUAUGUUUAUUGUAGUUCUGUAUUGUAGCUAAAUUUAUUAUCUAACUUGUUGAUGCCAAUAAGCUGAUGCAUCUGAAAGGUACCUGCAAAAAAAUUAUCAUAUCAAAACACUUCAGAAGAAGCCAUAAAAGUAUUAUGAUAAAAUAUCAGAGGAAGACAUAAAACUGGGGGGAGGUGAAGUUAUACUUUGCAGCAUUUGCUCACGAUAUUUGAGAAAGUAAACUUUUCUGUCUUUUAAAUGAUUUCUGAAUUUCUCUAACAGUGCUGCUCUGUUUUCUCGGUCAACCAUGCUGGAAAGCCCAGUUUUCCUUUGCAGUCUGCAGAGCACGUGGCAGGACUAUAGGCCUGUUUUAUCUCUUUCUCACAUAGCCCUCUGACCAAGAAUCUGUGGAGGUCAUCCCUCACCUCCAGAGUUGGUCUUGUCCCUAGCACCCACGUGUGCUCUGUGGCUCAGAAUGGUCUACAGGAUCUUCCAAAUCCAAGCACAGGGUAAAGGUUUGCAGUUUAUAUUUUUAAUUUUUAGUACAUGUUUACUGAGCUACCGAAGUGUGCCCAGCACUGUGCACGCGUUGAUCCCUCCAUGGAGCGUGGUUGGAAAUUCCCAGAGCAGCCCCUUUCUCUGAACACAGUGUGAGACAGCUCGCUGGCUGUUAGCACCCGCAAGCCAAACGUGACGAAGGCACC
rnacentral:lncRNA from 1 species